GGCAGCGCCUGGCUUCUCUGUCUUCCUGCUCAGGAGACAGGGCUCCCGGCAGGUCUGCGACAGGACCCAGAAGAUGGGGGCUGGAGAGCUAGUCUCCUUCAUGAACGGAAGGUCCUGGAGUGACCUGCAGUCACAACUCCUGUGUGCACAGCCUCAUUCAAACACAGAGAAUGCAAGAAUCCCAGCUAGGGGAUGGCGGGGGUGGAUGGUAGCCCAGCAGGCCAGCCUCCACGACCCCAGCCUGCUGACUGCUAAAAGCGGAGCUUCUGUAAAUGGGGCUGCCUGGGCCACUCAGGGUAGCUACAAGCAGCCGGAGGUCAGUGGGCUCCGGGCCCUGUGCGGUGGCACCUCUGGCUGCCAGCCUCAGGAGACUCGUUUCGGCGCCUGCUGGGACUGAUUUGUUCUCUCCCUGGCACAGUCAAAGGGCUCGGGACCAGCAACGAUCCAGAUGGUGGCUAUGCUCUGUCUGCGUGCCAUCGAUGGCUGCGCUCUGUCUGCGUCACAGAGUGAGACACUGAGGUGCUGGCCUUGUUGAAUGGGGAGGGCUGCUCUCUGCUCUGGAGACAGCUCUGUGCUCUCAUGUCCACAUUGUGGACUAGAAGGGGAGGGACUAGAGAGGCUGGGUGACGCCUCUUCUCUAAGGGCCUUAAUCCCAUUCAUGAGGGCUCUGCCCUCAGGACUUAAGGCCCCACCUCUUAACACUAUCACAUUGGUGAUUAAGUUUUGACACAUGAAUCUGGAGAGACAUCCUCACUCAGACCAUAGCACCAGGUGUCACUUGCCCUGUCCACCUUCUGGGGCUGUGGGAUGCCAACUCCGGGAUCCCUGGAUCUCACAGUAGGCUGCAGGUGUAUGGAGCAAUACCUAAUGAGCGAGAAGAGUCCCUGAGUGGCUUUUGAACUACAGUGAGGCAGGCAGAAGCUACUUAAAGUGCUGGUCGUUUUAUGCCUGUGGUGCCCUGGCUCCUUCCCACGAAUGCCCACUAUUUGCUACAGUCCCAGACGAAUACACACCUGAAAAAGCC
rnacentral:lncRNA from 13 species